rnacentral:lncRNA from 1 species
ACCGCCCCAGGACCCUGUCCGCAGGAGCAGCACAGCAGGCAGCUGCAGGGCAGUGGGAGGAGCUGUCGAGUCAGAAGCCCGGUAAACCCCGUCCUUACGAGCCCCGCCCCUAGCUCUUCUACUACGGAGGGGAACUGCAGAGCCAGAAGAGCACGGAGCAGCAACUCGCAGCCCAAUUGGUGACGCUGCAGAAUGAACUGGAGCUGGCGGAGACCAAAUGCGCCUUGCAGGAGGAGAAGCUGCAGCAGGACGCGCUGCAGACAGCGGAGGCCUGGGCCAUAUUCCAGGAGCAGACCGUAGUCCUGCAGGUGUGACGGGCAGCUUCGCAGAGUGCAGUACAGCACCGAGUCGCUCAUGGAGGAGAUGGCCAGGGCGGACCGAGAGACGCGGCUGUUCGGCGGUCCUCGCGCGCUGGCCAUCAGGCGCUGCUGACGCUGCCGCUCCUCUUCCUGGGGCUGUCGCUGCUCUGGACGGUGCUGUUGGACCCCGGCGCCGUCUCCGCGUGGCUCUGGAGCCUCACCUCGGAGACGACGCUGCGCCGCCUGCGCUACACGCUGUCCCCGCUGCUGGAGCUGCGCGCUAACGGGCUGCUGCCAACCUAAGUGCAGCGCCCCGCGCCUGGCUCCAGGUGGACUCCAGGGCACCGGCUUUAUUUCUGGUGCACUCCUCUCCUGAGAGUGUAGACCAAGGUCGCCUAAUAAACUCCUCAAGGGAUGAAGCUCGUGGGUUCGUCGUCUGUCUCCCAUGUCAUGUAGGAGCUUGACUGGCUUUUCAGCCUCCAAAGAUUCCUUCCUUUCUUACAGCUCAUGGAUUUAGAUCCACUCCCCAGUAUUGUAAACAGCAUUUUUAGUUUUUCAGGAUACAUAAUUUGCCAUAUUGCCAGAAACUUGUACAUAGCAUUUGA